UUGGAGGCUUUUGCCGGACGAGACAACUCACCAGUUGUUGCGGCUCUCUCAAGUGACACUCACAAAAAGGAAAAGAUUUUAGAGGGAGAGACAGAGAGAGAGAGAGACUUUUACUUUCUAGUGAGAGAAAGAGCAAGUCUUUUGAGGGAGAGAGAUUUGCUAGUGGUACUGCUACUACCUUUCUUGUGUUUUGAUUCACCCCAUGUUGUUGUUGCUGUUAGUAUUGUCUCCUAAUAUUCUACAGAUUUCAACGACUCUUUCUGCCAUUUGUUCUUCUUCAGCAAACGAUUUGUCUGGAUGCUAAGGUGUUUUCUGUUCAUAGGAGGCCUUUGACCACUGCAUCACCAUA
rnacentral:misc_RNA from 1 species